AACGCACGAGACCUGCGGACCUGCGGAAGGAUCAUUAAUGAGAAACUGCCCCUCGCGGGUAGAUCUCCCACCCUUUGUAAACUUACCUUUGUUGCUUUGGCAGGCCCGUCUCCGAACCGCCGGCUUCGGCUGGCCAGUGCCUGCCAGAGGAUUCUAAAACUCUGUCUGUCAGUGUUGUCUGAGUCUAUAUACAAUCGUUAAAACUUUUAACAAUGGAUCUCUAGAUCGGAAGAGCACACG
rnacentral:misc_RNA from 1 species